rnacentral:rRNA from 1 species
UACAGAGGUGGCAAGCGUUGUUCGGAAUUACUGGGCGUAAAGGGCGCGUAGGCGGCCUUCUCAGUCAGACGUGAAAUCCCCAGGCUCAACUUGGGAACUGCGUCUGAUACUGGAUGGCUUGAAUUCGGGAGAGGGAUGCAGAAUUCCAGGUGUAGCGGUGAAAUGCGUAGAUAUCUGGAGGAAUACCGGUGGCGAAGGCGGCAUCCUGGACCGAUAUUGACACUGAUGAGCGAAAGCCAGGGGAGCAAACGGG